CAGCAGCCGCGGGAAUACGGAGGGAGCUAGCGUUGUUCGGAAUUACUGGGCGUAAAGCGCGCGUAGGCGGUUACUCAAGUCAGAGGUGAAAGCCCGGGGCUCAACCCCGGAACUGCCUUUGAAACUAGGUGACUAGAAUCUUGGAGAGGUCAGUGGAAUUCCGAGUGUAGAGGUGAAAUUCGUAGAUAUUCGGAAGAACACCAGUGGCGAAGGCGACUGACUGGACAAGUAUUGACGCUGAGGUGCGAAAGCGUGGGGAGCAAACAGGAUUAGAGACCCCCGUAGUCCCUGUCUCUUAUAC
rnacentral:rRNA from 1 species